UUAACUAAAUAAUAAAUGCCAGUGGCAGGCAUUGUAAAUAAGUCCCAACUCCAGGAUUUAUUUCACAAAAUGGCUGCAAAAAUGUAUAUGUAGAUUGUGAUAGAUUCAUGAUUAAAGUUUGGAUUGACAUCAACUGAAAAAGAUCUGAAGAGUAUUUGUACAAAAAAAUAAAAAGAUAGCAAAAAUUGAAUGUCAUUGAAGUCAACACUUUUGGAUUUUUUGUCACUGCAUAUAUCAAUAUUAGAGAAAUGAUCGUGUCUUGGAUGAUUUGAAAAUUGUUCAACUUGAUUAUAAAUAAACUAUUUAUGGUUUUAUUUAAUCUCCAAAUAUAAUAAUCCAACAACAUUGUUAUAGGCUCAUGAUUAAAUAUAUAGAAUUGAUAUAAACUGAACAAGAUUUCAAGAGUAUUCUUUUACCACAUCAAGUCUUGGUCUUGGAUUUUAUAAUUGUUUCCUUGGAUUCUUUGGGUUUGGGGGUUUUACUUUUCUGAUCUCUAAUCGUUUUGUUGUCGAUACUUGGGGGUUUUAGAGGUUUAUGUUGAUUUUAGAUAUUGUUGUAUGGGAUCUAUCCUUUUCCGGUAAACCGGCGCUGAUCUAAUAAAUACACACGUCACAUCUCGGUUUUUGAUUUUCUGGUUUCUCCGAUUUUAUAAUCGUCUUGAUUUUCCGUUAUCGUCAAAAUAUGGUCGUCUUAUUUUAACCUUUUAUACACUAUGACAAUUGUUCGUCGUUGUUGUUCCAAUUUCUUUCAAGUUUU
rnacentral:sRNA from 1 species